UUCGCAGUCCACAUAAAUAAAACAAAGGCCCAAUACUUGAAUAAAACUAAACCCAAGCAUGUAAAUAAAUAAAUGACUACAGCCCAAGCCUCGGCCCAAAACUCAAUUAAAAUCGGCCCACUUCCUUAAAAAAAAAAAACAGCCCAUCUUUGGGCCCAACCCUAAAUCCAUCUUCAUUUAUCACACCCACACACACAUCACACGCAUACACACAUCACACGCAGCAGCUGCGCUGCCCACACUCCCCUCCCUCUUCUUCCUUUCUCCGGCGACGGUAGGCGUCGCCGGACACGCCGCCGUCCCCGACGACCCUCUCCCUCUCCUCUGCUCUCCUAUCUCCCUCAAACAGACGUCCAUCACCUCCAUAUAUCUCUCUUCACGUCGGAAGUCCGCCGCCGCGGAGACUCGCCGGGAAAACAACGGCGACACCCUCGGUUCUCCCUCUCUUUCGGACCUCCGGUGAUUUCAGCAGCGAUCAGCCGCUGCCCCACCUUCUAUUUGUGCAGAAUUCGACGGCCGCCGCAGCUGAAGCUAGCCACCGUCGAUCCGCCCCUCUCCCUUGAAUCUCCGGCCACCGCCCGUAGAUCAGGCGACGCCACUUCUGACUCUCUCGACUCCGGCAGUAGCAGCUUUCGUAGCCACCACCACCGCCGUCGUCCUCCGCCGAACAGCCCCGCUGUCCAGCCGCUCACCACCAUCUCAGCCCCGACCAUCUCUCUCAAACCUUUUUCCCUCGCUCGUUCUUCUCUGUUAACGGAAACAGGACAGCAGACGCCCCGCCGUGGUUGGAGUCAACGGCGGGUCUGCCGCCGCCACGCCAUCACCGGCGAGCUUCCCGGGCCGCCGACUUCUGCCCUCGACACUCACACACAUACACAUGGGCUUAGCACAAAAAUUUAACCACAAUUAAAAGUAGGAUUAGGGCAGAUUUGUAUUACUAAACUGUAAAUUGUUUAAUGACAAUUUCUUAUUAAAGCUUCUAGAUCUGUAAAUUAUUAUUCUUCCUUCAGUUAUCUGUACAGUAAUUUCAAUUCAAGAACAACUCAUAACGUAUUCAUA